rnacentral:rRNA from 1 species
UACGAAGGGGGCUAGCGUUGUUCGGAUUUACUGGGCGUAAAGCGCACGUAGGCGGGUCGUUAAGUCAGGGGUGAAAAUCCCCGGAGCUCAACUCCGGAACUGCCUUUUGAUACUGGCGGCCUUGAGGCUGGAAGAGGUUAGUGGAAUUCCCAGUGUAGAGGUGAAAUUCGUAGAUAUUGGGAAGAACACCAGUGGCGAAGGCGGCUAACUGGUCCAGAUCUGACGCUGAGGUGCGAAAGCGUGGGGAGCAAACAGG